UUCAGAACGUCGUGAGACAGUUCGGUCCCUAUCCGUCGCGGGCGUAGGAAAUUUGAGAGGAGCUGUCCUUAGUACGAGAGGACCGGGAUGGACUGACCUCUGGUGCACCAGUUGUUCCGCCAGGAGCACAGCUGGGUAGCUAAGUCGGGAAGGGAUAAACGCUGAAAGCAUCUAAGCGUGAAGCCCACCUCAAGAUGAGAUUUCCCAUAGCAUAAGCUAGUAAGACCCCUUGAAGAACACGAGGUUGAUAGGUCAGAGGUGUAAGUGCAGUAAUGUAUGUAGCUGACUGAUACUAAUAGGUCGAGGGCUUGACCAA
rnacentral:rRNA from 1 species